rnacentral:rRNA from 1 species
AUUGAACGCUGGCGGCAGGCCUAACACAUGCAAGUCGAGCGGUAGCACAGAGAGCUUGCUCUCGGGUGACGAGCGGCGGACGGGUGAGUAAUGUCUGGGAAACUGCCCGAUGGAGGGGGAUAACUACUGGAAACGGUAGCUAAUACCGCAUAACGUCGCAAGACCAAAGAGGGGGACCUUCGGGCCUCUUGCCAUCGGAUGUGCCCAGAUGGGAUUAGCUAGUAGGUGGGGUAACGGCUCACCUAGGCGACGAUCCCUAGCUGGUCUGAGAGGAUGACCAGCCACACUGGAACUGAGACACGGUCCAGACUCCUACGGGAGGCAGCAGUGGGGAAUAUUGCACAAUGGGCGCAAGCCUGAUGCAGCCAUGCCGCGUGUAUGAAGAAGGCCUUCGGGUUGUAAAGUACUUUCAGCGGGGAGGAAGGUGUUGAGGUUAAUAACCUCAGCAAUUGACGUUACCCGCAGAAGAAGCACCGGCUAACUCCGUGCCAGCAGCCGCGGUAAUACGGAGGGUGCAAGCGUUAAUCGGAAUUACUGGGCGUAAAGCGCACGCAGGCGGUCUGUCAAGUCGGAUGUGAAAUCCCCGGGCUCAACCUGGGAACUGCAUUCGAAACUGGCAGGCUUGAGUCUCGUAGAGGGGGGUAGAAUUCCAGGUGUAGCGGUGAAAUGCGUAGAGAUCUGGAGGAAUACCGGUGGCGAAGGCGGCCCCCUGGACGAAGACUGACGCUCAGGUGCGAAAGCGUGGGGAGCAAACAGGAUUAGAUACCCUGGUAGUCCACGCCGUAAACGAUGUCUAUUUGGAGGUUGUGCCCUUGAGGCGUGGCUUCCGGAGCUAACGCGUUAAAUAGACCGCCUGGGGAGUACGGCCGCAAGGUUAAAACUCAAAUGAAUUGACGGGGGCCCGCACAAGCGGUGGAGCAUGUGGUUUAAUUCGAUGCAACGCGAAGAACCUUACCUACUCUUGACAUCCAGAGAACUUUCCAGAGAUGGAUUGGUGCCUUCGGGAACUCUGAGACAGGUGCUGCAUGGCUGUCGUCAGCUCGUGUUGUGAAAUGUUGGGUUAAGUCCCGCAACGAGCGCAACCCUUAUCCUUUGUUGCCAGCGGUUAGGCCGGGAACUCAAAGGAGACUGCCAGUGAUAAACUGGAGGAAGGUGGGGAUGACGUCAAGUCAUCAUGGCCCUUACGAGUAGGGCUACACACGUGCUACAAUGGCGUAUACAAAGAGAAGCGACCUCGCGAGAGCAAGCGGACCUCAUAAAGUACGUCGUAGUCCGGAUUGGAGUCUGCAACUCGACUCCAUGAAGUCGGAAUCGCUAGUAAUCGUGGAUCAGAAUGCUACGGUGAAUACGUUCCCGGGCCUUGUACACACCGCCCGUCACACCAUGGGAGUGGGUUGCAAAAGAAGUAGGUAGCUUAACCUUCGGGAGGGCGCUUACCACUUUGUGAUUCAUGACUGGGGUG